rnacentral:rRNA from 1 species
GUAGGGUGCGAGCGUUAAUCGGAAUUACUGGGCGUAAAGCGUGCGCAGGCGGUUUUUUAAGACAGGCGUGAAAUCCCCGGGCUCAACCUGGGAACUGCGCUUGUGACUGGAAGGCUAGAGUAUGGCAGAGGGGGGUGGAAUUCCACGUGUAGCAGUGAAAUGCGUAGAGAUGUGGAGGAACACCGAUGGCGAAGGCAGCCCCCUGGGCCAAUACUGACGCUCAUGCACGAAAGCGUGGGGAGCAAACAGGAUUAGAUACCCUGGUAGUCCACGCCCUAAACGAUGUCAACUAGGUGUUGGGUGGGUAAAACCAUUUAGUACCGGAGCUAACGCGUGAAGUUGACCGCCUGGGGAGUACGGCCGCAAGGUUA